rnacentral:misc_RNA from 1 species
UAUGGGCAAAUAUGUACAAAAGGGUAAUAAGUACAAUGAAAAUCAAAGAAGACUAAUGUAAUAGCUAUCCAAUAAAACUUCAAGAAAAACAGAAUUCAAAACAAACUAAUUCAAAACAAACUAACAGAAUUCAAAACAAACUAUAAUUGUUUGAACAUAUGUACAAAGAAAAAGUCCUACAAGUUUGAACAAAAGUAAAAUAGAAACUAAUCUAGUUCUAUUAUUUUGCCCUUGUCCAAAGAUGUUGCUAAGGGGCUGGUAGCUGCUGGUUGCUGUCGAAAUGAUGGUGCUGGA